AAUUCUUCGAAAAGUGUGUAAAUGUAGGUAAUGUUGAUGCGGUAUACUCAUUUUGGAGACUUGGACGAUGUUGUCGCUGUUUCGGAGGCUAAUGUUUCGAGCCACACCUAGCCAACCCUAGAUUAUGGAGUAUUUAACAUAUGCAGUGGAGAAGAUAUGAAGACGAACUUAGCUUUCCGAUAGUUCACACAGAUCCAAUUUCAACAACUCUGGAUCAGAUUUGUUCAUUGCUGCUUAAUCGUGAUUAAUCCGGUUAAGGAGCAGAGAAUCACAUUCCUCCUCUAUUGUUGAUUUUCUCCAGACUUUUUAAAAAUGCCUAAAAAAAAUCCAUACAUGUGAAUAUAAGGACACCUAAAGCCGAGACUCGCUCUCUGAAGGAAAGAAGAAACCAGACUGAGAAGAGAACCACCUUCCAUGGUGGUGAUAAGGAACUUGCAGAUAUGAAGAAACAAAAAAAAUCCUAUAGCAGAACGUCACCAAGGGACAUUCUCCAAGACUGGAGAGUGAAAUUAGAGCUUAGUUGACUAACAAAGCUUGCUAAACACCCACACAUUUCAUCUCUAAGAAUAAAAUGAUUCAAACUCCAAACAAAGACCAAAGGUCACAAAAGAGGUCUACAAGCCAAUACGAACGGAAAUUGCGAACUAAAGAGGAACACGAUUGAAGCACAAGCCUGGAAUUAUAAUGGGAGGGAAGAACUUGGUUCACAAUUGUGUCCCGUAAAUCUAUCAAACGCUAGAGUUGUAACUUGGCGGAAUGGUUCGUGUUCAAGGCUCUGAGUUUUGGCAUAUGGCUGAAGUUCUAAGAUUGAAAGCUGAAGACAGGGUAUAACUCUUUAAUGGAAAAGGAGGUUUGGUAGAAGGUUGUAUACAAAACAUAGACAAAACUGGAGUUGAUUUUGUCGCACAAGAAGAUCGGGAAACGCUUCGCGACGAUGUGGAGAUGUGGAGAUUACGGAAGGUUAGGGCUCGGGAGCUUGGAGUCUCAGUGGACACCUUCUGUAUGCUCUGCAUUGAGUGAUCACAGCAUCAGAGCUCUCUCUUGCUCCCGAGCUCACACUCUUUUCCUCACCGGUGAUCCUCUCCGUCUUAAAUCCCGAUUUUAUUGGCACAGAUUUAGUCGUUUGCAGCUACGAUCUUGUUGGUUGGUUGUAGCUGAAAAUAAUCAGAAUUUUGAAUUUGAGUGACAGUUGAUGGG